GACGAACGCUGGCGGCGUGCUUAACACAUGCAAGUCGAACGGAAAGGCCCUGCUUUUGUGGGGUGCUCGAGUGGCGAACGGGUGAGUAACACGUGAGUAACCUGCCCUUGACUUUGGGAUAACUUCAGGAAACUGGGGCUAAUACCGGAUAGGAGCUCCUGCUGCAUGGUGGGGGUUGGAAAGUUUCGGCGGUUGGGGUUGGACUCGCGGCUUAUCAGCUUGUUGGUGGGGUAGUGGCUUACCAAGGCUUUGACGGGUAGCCGGCCUGAGAGGGUGACCGGCCACCUUGGGACUGAGAUACGGCCCAGACUCCUACGGGAGGCAGCAGUGGGGAAUAUUGCACAAUGGGCGGAAGCCUGAUGCAGCAACGCCGCGUGCGGGAUGACGGCCUUCGGGUUGUAAACCGCUUUCGCCUGUGACGAAGCGUGAGUGACGGUAAUGGGUAAAGAAGCACCGGCUAACUACGUG
rnacentral:rRNA from 1 species